rnacentral:lncRNA from 1 species
CUCGUUAUCCCCACGUCGAUAACGGCAGCUCCUUCUUUGAUCAUGUCGGCUGUGAUCAGGCUCACACUUGGCUUCUGCUGCCAAACAAACACCCCAAAAAUCAGCUCAACUCCUCCAAGCCUGGAAAAGAACAUAACCCCAAGGGAUUCCUCGGCCCUGCAGCUGUCCCACAGGAUUUUGGGUGUCUCUAGGUAUAACCCUGACCCUGGAGCUCUGGGGACAGUUGCCAUAGGUAGAACCACCACAAGAGCUGCUCCAGACCCAGGACAGCCCCAAGAUACC